AUUGAACGCUGGCGGCAGGCUUAACACAUGCAAGUCGAACGAGGGGCGGACGGGUGAGUAAUGUCUGGGAAACUGCCUUAUGGAGGGGGAUAACUACUGGAAACGGUAGCUAAUCCCGCAUACCAUCAGAUGAGCCCAGAUGGGAUGAGCUAGUGGGUGGGGUAAUGGCUCACCUAGUCGACGAUCCCUCGCUGGUCUGAGAGGAUGACCGGCAACACGUGAACGUGGACACGGACCAGACUCCUACGGGAGGCAGCAGUGGGGAAUAUUGCGCAAGGGGCACUAGCCUGAGGCGGCCAAGCCGCGUGUGUGAAGAAGGCCUUCGGGGUGUAAAGCACUUUCAGCGAGGAGGCGGUACCCGCAGAAGAAGCACCGGCUAACUCCGUGCCAGCAGCCGCGGUAAUAC
rnacentral:rRNA from 1 species